GAUGAACGCUGGCGGCGUGCCUAAUACAUGCAAGUCGAGCGAACGGACGAGAAGCUUGCUUCUCUGAUGUUAGCGGCGGACGGGUGAGUAACACGUGGAUAACCUACCUAUAAGACUGGGAUAACUUCGGGAAACCGGAGCUACUACCGGCUAAUAUUUUGAACCGCAUGGUUCAAAAGUGAAAGACGGUCUUGCUGUCACUUAUAGAUGGAUCCGCGCUGCAUUAGCUAGUUGGUAAGGUAACGGCUUACCAAGGCAACGAUGCAUAGCCGACCUGAGAGGGUGAUCGGCCACACUGGAACUGAGACACGGUCCAGACUCCUACGGGAGGCAGCAGUAGGGAAUCUUCCGCAAUGGGCGAAAGCCUGACGGAGCAACGCCGCGUGAGUGAUGAAGGUCUUCGGAUCGUAAAGCUCUGUUAUUAGGGAAGAACAGAUGUGUAAGUAACUGUGCACAUCUUGACGGUACCUAAUCAGAAAGCCACGGCUAACUACGUG
rnacentral:rRNA from 1 species